rnacentral:lncRNA from 1 species
GAGAGCGAGAAUUUGUUAUCUUCUAAUGUUUGAAACAGAGAUUUUAUAUGUAAGAUCGUCCUGACCCGGCUAAGAAUGAGAAUGGAGAAAGUCUGAGAGUUGUAAUUUCUUACGGGCGAGCUUUUGUUUACUGUUUUGAGAAAGUGACCUUUUGCGUGGAAGCCAGACUAGAUUGAUAUCCAACUAACCCAGCUGCCUGGAAUCAAAGUCUAAACAUUGUUCACACCCUAUUUCUUAAGUAUAAUUACAUAAUUACAUUUUAGUAUUUUUGCUGACCAUAUUUUAUUCUUGGAAUUUAAUGGAUUUUUUUUUAUAACAUAAUUAAUAAAAUCAAUUAUACUCGUUCAACGUGAUUCGUUUCUUUUUUUUUUUUUAAUUAUGCCAAUGUUAGGAAAUAGAAAUAAAUAAAAUGUAAUUUAACUAUUUAGAAAUUAAUCUGAAUAAUCAUAUGAGAUUAUACAAAAGCAAUUUAUUUGAAAAAUAUUUUUCAGACAACUCAUUUUUCUAUUAAUUAAUAAAAUAUAAAAAAUUUAUAUAUUAUGAAACUAAAAAUUUUGAAAUUAUAUAAAUGUUUAUAUUUUAAAAUUUAAUUGUUGGAUAUGAGAAAAAAUAUGUAAAAAAUAAUUAUUUAAUGUUUUAAAAACAUUCUUUUAAUUAUCAAUAUUCUAAUAAUUUAAGAUUUUAUAAUUUCUAUAUAUUGAAUUCAAAAUUUUUUAUUCCUGGUGUAUAAAUGAGAGAUGAAUCAUAUUAUUUUAAUAAUUUUUUAACAACCUACUGAUAAGAAGAUUUAAGUCAGACAAACUACACAACCAUUAAAUAAGUUACCAGCGUCCUUUACACGAAUUGUUUUUGGACGCAAUUAGCGACAAAGAGGAGCUGAAAUGUCAAAUUUCAAAAUGAAUUUUUUAAUAUUCUGAUAAUGAUUUUGUUAUUAAAAAAAAAAAACGAUAUUUGCGCAGUUGAGCACUGAUAUCAGGAAAUUUGGGUCAUGAAUGAUUAUCCUAUUUCACUUCGUCAACUCUUAUGUGAUUCUGAGCAUAAUACAUUCGGAUACUUCGCCUUAUAAUUAGUGUUUACUUAAUUUUGGGUUAUACUUUUUAAUCAUUAAAAUUAGAAAAAAAUUUCACCAUAUAAUAUCAGGACCGAAACAUAAUAUAUAUAUAUAUAUAUAUAUAUAUAUAUAUAUAUAUAUAAUUACUUCAAAAAUCUUGAAAAAACAAAAAUAAUUAAACAGAUAGCUAAUCUUUAAUGAACGAAUUAGUAAUGCAACGAACAAUUUAAAGUCGCAAAAAGAAUCACAGGAAGUGAACUAAUAAUUGUAAUUAAAAAUUCUUAAUUACCUCGUCUGCGAUACAAAACUAGCUGAUUAAGAGCUCUGAGUCCUCGCCUGUGGAAGGCAGUAGUUGUAUAUGUAAAUUUCUCCUUAUCGUUCUUAUCUAAUGCGCUGAAAUGGAGAGCGAGAAUUUGUUAUCUUCUAAUGUUUGAAACAGAGAUUUUAUAUGUAAGAUCGUCCUGACCCGGCUAAGAAUGAGAAUGGAGAAAGUCUGAGAGUUGUAAUUUCUUACGGGCGAG